GAUGAACGCUGGCGGCGUGCCUAAUACAUGCAAGUCGAGCGAACAGACGAGGAGCUUGCUCCUCUGACGUUAGCGGCGGACGGGUGAGUAACACGUGGAUAACCUACCUAUAAGACUGGGAUAACUUCGGGAAACCGGAGCUAAUACCGGAUAAUAUAUUGAACCGCAUGGUUCAAUAGUGAAAGACGGUUUUGCUGUCACUUAUAGAUGGAUCCGCGCCGCAUUAGCUAGUUGGUAAGGUAACGGCUUACCAAGGCAACGAUGCGUAGCCGACCUGAGAGGGUGGUCGGCCACACUGGAACUGAGAAACGGCCCAGACUCCUACGGGAGGCAGCGGUAGGGAAUCUUCCGCAAUGGGCGAAAGCCGGACGGUGCAACGCCGCGUGAGUGAUGAAGGUCUUCGGAUCGUAAAACUCUGUUAGUAGGGAAGAACAAAUGUGUAAGUAACUAUGCACGUCUUGACGGUACCUAAUCAGAAAGCCACGGCUAACUACGUG
rnacentral:rRNA from 1 species